rnacentral:tRNA from 1 species
AUCUCUUUAGUAUAAAAAGUAUAACUGACUUCCAAUCAGAGAGUCCGAUUUCGGAAGAGAUA